GACGAACGCUGGCGGCGUGCCUAACACAUGCAAGUCGAACGAUGAAGCUGGAGCUUGCUCUAGCGGAUUAGUGGCGAACGGGUGAGUAACACGUGAGCAAUCUGCCCUUGACUCUGGGAUAACUGCGGGAAACUGUAGCUAAUACCGAUACUUUCACCGGGGGGCAUCCUCUGGCGAUGAAAGAAUUUCGGUCAAGGAUGAGCUCGCGGCCUAUCAGCUUGUUGGUGAGGUAACGGCUCACCAAGGCGACGACGGGUAACCGGCCUGAGAGGGUGACCGGUCACACUGGGACUGAGACACGGCCCAGACUCCUACGGGAGGCAGCAGUGGGGAAUAUUGCACAAUGGGCGCAAGCCUGAUGCAGCAACGCCGCGUGAGGGAUGAAGGCCUUCGGGUUGUAAACCUCUUUUAGCAGGGAAGAAGCGAAAGUGACGGUACCUGCAGAAAAAGCACCGGCUAACUACGUGCCAGCAGCCGCCGUAA
rnacentral:rRNA from 1 species